AUUAUCUCAGCAAAUGUACAAAUAGUUUAGCUUCACUAAACUAGUCAAUUUUUUUUUUCUAAACAUCAAUGCUUAGGAAGCAAAACAGGCUGGGAGAACAGUAGUUGUACUGGUGGCAGCUGUGGUGCUGAUGGAGGAAGUGGUGGAAUGCAUAGGCUGCUCAUGCUUUUUGCCACAAUGAAGGUCAAAAAGUAGAUCACUUAAAGUCUAAAGUUAACCUUGGGGGUCAUAUUCUUCACCAAAAACUAUGUUUAUACAUAUAGACUUAGCAGUAUGCUAUAAAAGUGAAGAUAUAGCACUAUAAAAUUCCAUCAUAAAGUAAAUUGUUCAAGAUUGUGGUCCAAGCUCUUCAAAAUGCUCAUAAAUCAGAAGGUGUAUUUAUUAAACAAUAUUUUAUAUGUACCUAUAAUAAUACAAUACUAUACUACACAGAUUGGACCUAAAAUGAAUUCACUUGCUAUAUUAAAUAUUAAACAUUAAAUAGGCAGAAAUUUUGUUUGCACUGGACUUAGAAUAUAAGAAGAAAAUUUGGGACAACCUGAAUAGUUGAGGUCUCUUGAGAAACCCUUCAGCUUCUUUUCCUCCAAAUAAAUUUCUCUGUAGCAAAUGGAAGCCAUCCAAAUGAUUCCCUAGCUACCUCAAAGUACUGUAAUUUGUCUACUUCACAAAGUAGAGGGCUAUAUCUAGCAAUAAUUCAAGAAAAAUGCAGCAACUCCCAUUAUGUCUUAGGCACUAUGCUAGGAAGUUUAUGCAUAUCAUUUUGUUUGAUUUUAAUAGCAACUUCAUGAAAUAAAUCAUCAUAAUAAAUGACUAUUUCAGAUAUUGAGAAACCACAGAAAGAGAGAAGUUAAAUAAUUUUCCUGUCAAAGACCACAUCAAUGAUGAAGCCAGAAUUUGAGCUCAUUUACUUAACCACUGGACUACCUGCCUGCCCUGUCGAGGAACUGCUAAGUGUCCCUUUUGAUGAGAAGAAUAAGCCUCAUUGUGAUUCAACAGCAGAGAUCAAAGAAAAGACUUCUGUUUUCUGGCCACCAGAUAUAUGUUAUCUGUGCUUAAAGAAUUGAAAAACACACAUCAAAGGAGAAUUCUCUUGGAAAGAGAGGGUUCAAGCAUCACUGUUAGGUGUGCUGGAAUCCUUUCCCGAGUCAGUACUGCUUUCUAGAAGAAAACCGGGGAGAUCUAUUUGGAAUGUAUCUAACUCCAAAGGAACCAUCAGAGGUAACAGUAGAGACGGGGUUUCACCAUGUUGGCCAGACUGGUCUUGAACUCCCGACCUCGUGAUUCGCCCGCCUUGGCCUCCCAAAGUGCUGGGAUUACAGGUGUGAGACACCAUGCCCGGCGGAUAGAGAGAAUUUUGACAGUCUCUCCAAUGAACGCCUUCACUGAUAUCCAAAGCAUGAAGGACACACCAGGGAAAAACAUAGACCUAACACAGGACAAAUGGAAUUAUUAGAAACAUUUUCUAGCAGAAGAACAAUAUUCUGUUGCCGUUUGAAUCUUUGCUUCUUUCUACGUUUGACAAUGAGCCUAUCAUAUAAGCCCAAAUGUAAACAGAAAGAGGUUGAAUCAGUCACGAUAAGCCCAAUUAUGCUGUGGUAACAAACAACCUCAAAAUCUCAUUGGCUUAAAAUAUACAGAAUUAUUCUUACUCAUGGCACAUAUCCAUCUAUCAUCUGCAGGGGAUCUGCUCACUGAAGUCACUUAGGAACUUGGACUGAUGGAACGGCCACUUUUUGGUCACUAUAUGUAUUAAUCUGUUUUAAUCCUGCUGAUAAAGACCCAAAAUUGGG